GCCCGGUUAGCUCAGUCGGCAGAGCACCAGACUCCUAAUCUGGCUGUCGCGGGUUCGAGCCCCACAUCCGGCU
rfam:Toxocara canis scaffold268, whole genome shotgun sequence.